GGGUUGUGAGGUUAAGCGACUAAGCGUACACGGUGGAUGCCCUGGCAGUCAGAGGCGAUGAAGGACGUGCUAAUCUGCGAAAAGCGUCGGUAAGGUGAUAUGAACCGUUACAGCCGGCGAUGUCCGAAUGGGGAAACCCAGUGCAAUUCGUUGCACUAUCGUUAACUGAAUACAUAGGUUAACGAGGCGAACCGGGGGAACUGAAACAUCUAAGUACCCCGAGGAAAAGAAAUCAACCGAGAUUCCCCCAGUAGCGGCGAGCGAACGGGGAGCAGCCCAGAGUCUGAAUCAGCUUGUGUGUUAGUGGAACGGUCUGGAAAGUCCGACGGUACAGGGUGAUAGUCCCGUACACCAAAAUGCACAGGCUGUGAACUCGAAGAGUAGGGCGGGACACGUGGUAUCCUGUCUGAAUAUGGGGGGACCAUCCUCCAAGGCUAAAUACUCCUGACUGACCGAUAGUGAACCAGUACCGUGAGGGAAAGGCGAAAAGAACCCCGGCGAGGGGAGUGAAAAAGAACCUGAAACCGUGUACGUACAAGCAGUGGGAGCACCUUCGGGUGUGACUGCGUACCUUUUGUAUAAUGGGUCAGCGACUUAUAUUCUGUAGCAAGGUUAACCGUAUAGGGGAGCCGCAGGGAAACCGAGUCUUAACUGGGCGUUAAGUUGCAGGGUAUAGACCCGAAACCCGGUGAUCUAGCCAUGGGCAGGUUGAAGGUUGGGUAACACUAACUGGAGGACCGAACCGACUAAUGUUGAAAAAUUAGCGGAUGACUUGUGGCUGGGGGUGAAAGGCCAAUCAAACCGGGAGAUAGCUGGUUCUCCCCGAAAGCUAUUUAGGUAGCGCCUCGUGAAUUCAUCUUCGGGGGUAGAGCACUGUUUCGGCUAGGGGGUCAUCCCGACUUACCAACCCGAUGCAAACUACGAAUACCGAAGAAUGUUAUCACGGGAGACACACGGCGGGUGCUAACGUCCGUCGUGAAGAGGGAAACAACCCAGACCGCCAGCUAAGGUCCCAAAGUCAUGGUUAAGUGGGAAACGAUGUGGGAAGGCACAGACAGCCAGGAUGUUGGCUUAGAAGCAGCCAUCAUUUAAAGAAAGCGUAAUAGCUCACUGGUCGAGUCGGCCUGCGCGGAAGAUGUAACGGGGCUAAACCAUGCACCGAAGCUGCGGCAGCGACACUAUGUGUUGUUGGGUAGGGGAGCGUUCUGUAAGCCUGCGAAGGUGACCUGUGAGGGUUGCUGGAGGUAUCAGAAGUGCGAAUGCUGACAUAAGUAACGAUAAAGCGGGUGAAAAGCCCGCUCGCCGGAAGACCAAGGGUUCCUGUCCAACGUUAAUCGGGGCAGGGUGAGUCGACCCCUAAGGCGAGGCCGAAAGGCGUAGUCGAUGGGAAACAGGUUAAUAUUCCUGUACUUGGUGUUACUGCGAAGGGGGGACGGAGAAGGCUAUGUUAGCCGGGCGACGGUUGUCCCGGUUUAAGCAUGUAGGCUGGUUNNNNNNNNNNNNNNNNNNNNNNNNNNNNNNNNNNNNNNNNNNNNNNNNAAAUCGUACCCCAAACCGACACAGGUGGUCAGGUAGAGAAUACCAAGGCGCUUGAGAGAACUCGGGUGAAGGAACUAGGCAAAAUGGUGCCGUAACUUCGGGAGAAGGCACGCUGGUGUGUAGGUGAAGUCCCUGCGGAUGGAGCUGAGACCAGUCGAAGAUACCAGCUGGCUGCAACUGUUUAUUAAAAACACAGCACUGUGCAAACACGAAAGUGGACGUAUACGGUGUGACGCCUGCCCGGUGCCGGAAGGUUAAUUGAUGGGGUUAUCCGUAAGGAGAAGCUCUUGAUCGAAGCCCCGGUAAACGGCGGCCGUAACUAUAACGGUCCUAAGGUAGCGAAAUUCCUUGUCGGGUAAGUUCCGACCUGCACGAAUGGCGUAAUGAUGGCCAGGCUGUCUCCACCCGAGACUCAGUGAAAUUGAACUCGCUGUGAAGAUGCAGUGUACCCGCGGCAAGACGGAAAGACCCCGUGAACCUUUACUAUAGCUUGACACUGAACAUUGAGCCUUGAUGUGUAGGAUAGGUGGGAGGCUUUGAAGCGUGGACGCCAGUCUGCGUGGAGCCAACCUUGAAAUACCACCCUUUAAUGUUUGAUGUUCUAACGUUGGCCCCUUACCGGGGUUGCGGACAGUGUCUGGUGGGUAGUUUGACUGGGGCGGUCUCCUCCCAAAGCGUAACGGAGGAGCACGAAGGUUAGCUAAUCCUGGUCGGACAUCAGGAGGUUAGUGCAAUGGCAUAAGCUAGCUUGACUGCGAGCGUGACGGCGCGAGCAGGUGCGAAAGCAGGUCAUAGUGAUCCGGUGGUUCUGAAUGGAAGGGCCAUCGCUCAACGGAUAAAAGGUACUCCGGGGAUAACAGGCUGAUACCGCCCAAGAGUUCAUAUCGACGGCGGUGUUUGGCACCUCGAUGUCGGCUCAUCACAUCCUGGGGCUGAAGUAGGUCCCAAGGGUAUGGCUGUUCGCCAUUUAAAGUGGUACGCGAGCUGGGUUUAGAACGUCGUGAGACAGUUCGGUCCCUAUCUGCCGUGGGCGCUGGAGAAUUGAGGGGGGCUGCUCCUAGUACGAGAGGACCGGAGUGGACGCAUCACUGGUGUUCGGGUUGUCAUGCCAAUGGCACUGCCCGGUAGCUAAAUGCGGAAGAGAUAAGUGCUGAAAGCAUCUAAGCACGAAACUUGCCCCGAGAUGAGUUCUCCCUGAGACUUUAAGUCUCCUGAAGGAACGUU
rnacentral:rRNA from 1 species